rnacentral:rRNA from 1 species
UGCAGUCGAGGGGUAGUCAUCUUCGGAUGAUGAGACCGGCGCACGGGUGCGUAACGCGUAUACAAUCUACCUUUUACAGAGGGAUAGCCCAGAGAAAUUUGGAUUAAUACCUCAUAGUAUUUUUGAAUGGCAUCAUUUGAUUAUUAAAGUUCCAACGGUAAAAGAUGAGUAUGCGUCCCAUUAGCUAGAUGGUAAGGUAACGGCUUACCAUGGCUACGAUGGGUAGGGGUCCUGAGAGGGAGAUCCCCCACACUGGUACUGAGACACGGACCAGACUCCUACGGGAGGCAGCAGUGAGGAAUAUUGGACAAUGGGCGCAAGCCUGAUCCAGCCAUGCCGCGUGCAGGAAGAAGGUCCUAUGGAUUGUAAACUGCUUUUAUACAGGAAGAAACACCUCUACGUGUAGAGACUUGACGGUACUGUAUGAAUAAGGACCGGCUAACUCCGUGCCAGCAGCCGCGGUAAUACGGAGGGUCCAAGCGUUAUCCGGAAUCAUUGGGUUUAAAGGGUCCGUAGGCGGUUUAAUAAGUCAGUGGUGAAAGCCCAUCGCUCAACGAUGGAACGGCCAUUGAUACUGUUAAACUUGAAUUAUUAGGAAGUAACUAGAAUAUGUAGUGUAGCGGUGAAAUGCUUAGAGAUUACAUGGAAUACCAAUUGCGAAGGCAGGUUACUACUAAUAUAUUGACGCUGAUGGACGAAAGCGUGGGGAGCGAACAGGAUUAGAUACCCUGGUAGUCCACGCCGUAAACGAUGGAUACUAGCUGUUCGGAGCAAUCUGAGUGGCUAAACGAAAGUGA